rnacentral:rRNA from 1 species
GAUCAUGGCUCAGGAUGAACGCUAGCGACAGGCUUAACACAUGCAAGUCGAGGGGCAGCGGGGGUAGCAAUACCCGCCGGCGACCGGCGCACGGGUGAGUAACGCGUAUGCAACUUACCUAUCAGAGGGGGAUAACCCGGCGAAAGUCGGACUAAUACCGCAUGAAGCAGGGACCCCGCAUGGGGAUAUUUGCUAAAGAUUCAUCGCUGAUAGAUAGGCAUGCGUUCCAUUAGGCAG